rnacentral:tRNA from 1 species
UGUUCUGUAGCUUAGUUGGUUAAAGCGCCGGACUAGCGAUAACGGAGUCGUGGGUUCGAAUCCCACCAAAACUA